GGAGAAAAGGGAGGGGGACGGAAGAGGAAGGAGGACUGAGCCCGGGAGAGAGAGGGGAGGGGUCGGCGCGCGACCGGGUCAUGCAGGUGCAGACUGGCCGGUCGCUUCCCGCCCUCCAGCCACCCGCAGCUCCCCGGCAGGCGAAGGGCGGCCGCGCGGGUGUGGGCCGAGAGAGGGAGGCGGCUCGGCUGGAGCGCGCCGUCCGCCCGACCCCCGCCGCCUCUCGGGCGCCUGCGCUCACGCUGCGGGGCCCAGCGCAUUGUGAGCCGGGUCGAGCUCCACGCUGGCAGCGUCUGAGAGCUGUCCUGGGCCGGAGGUGGCGCGAACCCUGUGCGGCCUAGAGUGGGCCUGGGGAAGCCAGCUGCCAUGUUCUGAGUACUCUCUGGAAGGGCCUGCAUGGCAAGGAACUGAUGUUUCCAGCCAGCAGCCAGCAAGAACUGCAAGCCUUGUGAAUGAGCUUGGAAGCAGAUCCUCCCCUCACUCAAGCCAUGAUAUGACAACAGCCUGAGACCCAGAGAAUCAGAAAUCUGAGCGUAGGAAGAAGUGGGUUAGCCCUGGAGAAAGGAAAAGGAGGAUCAUGGUUCUCUGCAAAGAGCUGGAAGCUAAAAAGCAGGCUGUGUUUACUUACCAACCAGGACUCAGUGGGAUCUUUGCCAGCUUCCAAUAUGGCCUUAAAAGUAUAUGAAAUCCAAGAAAUAUUUCUGCAAAGCAAGAGAUCUUCACUGCUUUAUUUUCCACCACCUGAAUCCUUGCAGUGAGUGUAGUGUGUAUCUAAUCAAUCUAUUAAAAAAUACUUCAAAAGUUCUA
rnacentral:lncRNA from 1 species